rnacentral:rRNA from 1 species
AGUGAACGCUGGCGGUAGGCCUAACACAUGCAAGUCGAACGGCAGCACAGUAGGAGCUUGCUCUUACGGGUGGCGAGUGGCGGACGGGUGAGGAAUACAUCGGAAUCUACUUUUUCGUGGGGGAUAACGUAGGGAAACUUACGCUAAUACCGCAUACGACCUACGGGUGAAAGCAGGGGAUCUUCGGACCUUGCGCGAUUGAAUGAGCCGAUGUCGGAUUAGCUAGUUGGCGGGGUAAAGGCCCACCAAGGCGACGAUCCGUAGCUGGUCUGAGAGGAUGAUCAGCCACACUGGAACUGAGACACGGUCCAGACUCCUACGGGAGGCAGCAGUGGGGAAUAUUGGACAAUGGGCGCAAGCCUGAUCCAGCCGUACCGCGUGGGUGAAGAAGGCCUUCGGGUUGUAAAGCCCUUUUGUUGGGAAAGAAAAGCAGCAGGUUAAUACCCCGCUGUUCUGACGGUACCCAAAGAAUAAGCACCGGCUAACUUCGUG